AAUCAACGCUGGCGGCGUGACUUAACACAUGCAAGUCGAGCGGUAAGGCCCCUUCGGGGGGUACACGAGCGGCGAACGGGUGAGUAACACGUGGGUGACCUGCCCUCAGCUCUGGGAUAAGCCUGGGAAACUGGGUCUAAUACCGGAUAUGACUCCAUGACGCAUGUCGUGGGGUGGAAAGCCUUGUGCGGCUGGGGAUGGGCCCGCGGCCUAUCAGCUUGUUGGUGGGGUGANGGCCUACCAAGGCGACGACGGGUAGCCGGCCUGAGAGGGCGACCGGCCACACUGGGACUGAGACACGGCCCAGACUCC
rnacentral:rRNA from 1 species